UCCUGAAACCAAGUGUAAAGGUACUCUGAUUACGAUAAGAUGGUAAUCAAUAAUUCUGAAGCACAUAAAUUUUCUAAAUAAACCUCCAGCAAAUCGAAAUCGAAAGGAGCUGGCACGGCACACCGACAAUUGACAACUCUUUUGGGUCUUAAAAUAUUCAAUGAUAAUUAUCAGUUGCUCUUUGAUCUGCUGCUCGUAACACGUGAAUACAGAUAUCUAAAAUGGAGGAGUGCAUGUGCAGCCUUUAAUGAAUCUUGGAUUCAGGAUGCCUGCAGCAUUGUUAAUCUGCUUAGGCUUCGAUGCAGAGCCUAAUAAGUCUUUGAUUGCCUAUCAGUAUUAUAGGCCAAAUUGCAUGUGAUACCUUCUUUAUAUCCCCAAAUCAUCAAGAAUUUCCUUCAGCAGAGGGCAUAAAAACUCAUGGCAAGCUGCUUCAUUAGGUACAAGUAAAAUUGCACCAAAAAUACAGCUGAAUUUACCUGAAGGGCUUUCUCUCGACAAUAUGGUAUAGCCGUCCUGGUGCAUAUAGCCGUGUUGGAUCCUUAAGCAUCUUCUCCUCAAGAGUGCAAGUAUCCUUCAAGCACAUUAGGCAUAACAGACAAGGCAAGCUGUCCAAAGUACAGAAACUCAGCUUAGUUAAUAUCUUGUCUAAACAAACUGCAUUAGAUACGUGAUCAUUAUAACACGGACCAAAUAUGCAAGCAUAAGAGUCCAUCAUUGACUA